GGUUAAGCGACUAAGCGUACACGGUGGAUGCCCUGGCAGUCAGAGGCGAUGAAGGGCGUGCUAAUCUGCGAUAAGCGCCGGUAAGGUGAUAUGAACCGUUAUAACCGGCGAUACCCGAAUGGGGAAACCCAGUGUGAUUCGUCACACUAUCAUUAACUGAAUCCAUAGGUUAAUGAGGCGAACCGGGGGAACUGAAACAUCUAAGUACCCCGAGGAAAAGAAAUCAACCGAGAUUCCCCCAGUAGCGGCGAGCGAACGGGGAGGAGCCCAGAGCCUGAAUCAGCAUGUGUGUUAGUGGAAGCGUCUGGAAAGGCGCGCGAUACAGGGUGACAGCCCCGUACACAAAAGCGCAUGUGCUGUGAGCUCGAUGAGUAGGGCGGGACACGUGGUAUCCUGUCUGAAUAUGGGGGGACCAUCCUCCAAGGCUAAAUACUCCUGACUGACCGAUAGUGAACCAGUACCGUGAGGGAAAGGCGAAAAGAACCCCGGCGAGGGGAGUGAAAAAGAACCUGAAACCGUGUACGUACAAGCAGUGGGAGCACCCUUUGGGGUGUGACUGCGUACCUUUUGUAUAAUGGGUCAGCGACUUAUAUUCUGUAGCAAGGUUAACCGUAUAGGGGAGCCGUAGGGAAACCGAGUCUUAAC
rnacentral:rRNA from 1 species